UAACGGCGAGUGAAGCGGUAACAGCUCAAAUUUGAAAUCUGCCGCAAGGCCGAGUUGUAAUUUGUAGAAGAUGCUUUGGGUAUGGCCCCGGUCUAAGUUCGUUGGAACACGACGUCAUAGAGGGUGAGAAUCCCGUAUGUGACUGGGUGCUUUUGCCUAUGUAAAGCUCUUUCGACGAGUCGAGUUGUUUGGGAAUGCAGCUCAAAAUGGGUGGUAUAUUUCAUCUAAAGCUAAAUAUUGGCCAGAGACCGAUAGCGCACAAGUAGAGUGAUCGAAAGAUGAAAAGCACUUUGGAAAGAGAGUUAAACAGUACGUGAAAUUGUUGAAAGGGAAGCGCUUGCAACCAGACUUGCACGCUGUUGAUCAUCCAGGCUUCUGUUUGGUGCACUCAACUGCGUUCAGGCCAGCAUCGGUUUUGGUGGUGGGAUAAAGGCCUUGGGAAUGUAGCUUCUUUCGGGGAGUGUUAUAGCCCUCGGUGCAAUGCCGCCUACCGGGACCGAGGACCGCGCUUCGGCUAGGAUGCUGGCGUAAUGGUUGUAAGCGACCCGUCUUGAAACACGGACCAAGGAGUCUAACAUCUAUGCGAGUGUUUGGGUGUCAAACCCAUACGCGUAAUUAACGUGAACGGAGGUGAGAACCCUUAAGGGUGCAUCAUCGACCGAUCCUGAUGUCUUCGGAUGGAUUUGAGUAAGAGCAUAGCUGUUGGGACCCGAAAGAUGGUGAACUAUGCCUGAAUAGGGUGAAGCCAGAGGAAACUCUGGUGGAGGCUCGCAGCGGUUCUGACGUGCAAAUCGAUCGUCAAAUUUGGGUAUAGGGGCGAAAGACUAAUCGAACCAUCUA
rnacentral:rRNA from 1 species